GGAGUUUGGGCCGUGUCUCAGUCCCAAUGUGGCCGUUCUACCUCUCAGUACGGCUACUGAUCGUCGCCUUGGUGGGCCGUUACCUCGCCAACUAGCUAAUCAGACGCAUCCCCAUCCUAUAGCGGUGAACCUUUGGUGUUCGUCAGAUGUCCUCAAAACACAACAUAGAGCAUUAAUUCGACUUUCGCCGGGCUAUUCUCUACUAUAGGGAAGGUUGGAUACGCGUUACUCACCCGUGCGCCGGUCGCCAUCUGGAAUAGCAAGCUAUCCCAAUGCUGCCCCUCGACUUGCAUGUGUUAAGCCUGUAGCUAGCGUUCAUC
rnacentral:rRNA from 1 species